GUUGUUGUGGAGAAAUCAAUUGUGUGGAACGGGUUGUUGUGGGGUUGAGACCUUAUCAGCUCUCCUUACUCUUUACCUUUUUCACGCAAUGCACUUUCUCUUUAACAAGUCAACAUCAAUUUCUUUUGUUGUAAAAGGGUCAGCGGAAGGUGGCUUUCUUUUCGGAGAAAGUGUUUAUAGCCGUUGAUCUCUACAAUCGGAGAGAUUGAGGUCUGCAGCGUAGAUCCUUCGGGGUUAGAUACGUUGGUGCUAAGUUAUAAUCCUAUAUAGACAACUUGUUGACUAUGUUCGAUCAUGUAGCUUACUCGCUAGCGCUAUUUUACCUAC
rnacentral:rRNA from 1 species